CGGCACCGUGAGGCCGAGAACGGGUGGCCUUAUCCGCCCGCACUGCGAGAAGGGCGGCGGGCGGCCCCGGAGGAGGCUGAGGCUGAAGGUGCUGAAAUCCGAGCUGGUCUCUGAGGACUCAGCGGCUACAGUAGAUGAGGCUUUGCUGUUUGGUUCAGAGAAAGGCCUGGGCAAAGUGCCACAAUCCUCAGGGUCAUGGCUUCCCAGUGGCAGACUCUGCAGGGGUUUGCUGAAAUGGAUGCUUGUGACCUGAUGAACUUCCUUUCAGCCCCACCCAUCUUUCUCCAGUGGUCCUUCUAGAUGUCCAUGGCUGGUUUAAACAGUGCUUUCACCUAAACGUUAAGACCAGAGGACUGAGAGUUGGCCUGCUCCAACCUAAUCACAUAUAUCCCACUUUCACUUGAUGAUGGACUGGUUCUGUGGGCAUCCAACUUUAUGGCCUGGUGGGUCAGAUAACACCCAGCGCAUAACGGGCAGCUCAGGUUGCAUAGUAACUUGAUGGCCCAUCAUCAAGCAUUCAGUUUCUACUAAGGCCCAAUAGCAGGCCAAGAGCUGUCUCUCAAAGGGAGAAUAGUUGUCUGAAGAUAAUGGCAAGGCCUUGCUCCAGAAUCCUAAGGGCCUCUGCUGUGAUUCACCCACCUAUGGAGGCCUGCCAAAGACUCCAAAUCCCUGUCCAGCAUUGAAACUUAAGUACCAUUGGAUCUGCUGUAUCAUACAGCCCAAGUGGCAGAGCAGCCUGCCCAGCAGCCUGGACCUGUUGAAGAACCUUCUCUUGUUCUGGGCCUCACUGAAAACUAGUAGCUUUCCCAGUCACUUGGUAUAUGGGAUGGAGUAAGACACUCAAGUGAGGAAAGUGCUAUCUCCAAAAUCCAAAUAUGCCCACUAGAUGUUGUGCUUCUUUCUUAGUAGUAGGAGGGGCCAAAUGCAACUACUUAUCCUUCACCUUAGAAGAAUGUCCCUGCAUGCCCCACACCACUGAACUCGAAAUUUCACGGAGGUGGAAGGGCCUUGAAUUAUGGAUGGAUUUAUUUCCCAUCCCCUGAUGCACAUAUGCUCUACUAGCAACUACAGAGUAGCUGUCACCUCCUGCUCAUUUGAUCCCAUCAGCAUAAUGUCAUCGAUAUAAUGGACCAAUUUGACAGCUUGUGGAAGGGACAGGUGAUCAGGAUCCCUGCGAACUAAGCUAUGACACAGGCUGGAGAGUUAAUAUAACCUUGAGGUAAAACAGUAAAUGUGUACUGCUGACCUUGCCAACUGAAAGCAAAUUUCUGCUUGUGGUUGUUAUGAACAGGUAUGGAGAAGAAAACAUUCACAAGAUCAACAGCUACAUACCAGGUACCAGGAGAUGUGUUAAUCUGGUCAAGUAAAGAAACCACAUCUGGUACAGCAGCUGCAAUUGGAGUUACCACCUGAUUAAGUUUCUGAUAAUCCUCUGUCAUUCUCCAGGAUCCAUCUGUCUUCUAAACAGGCUAAAGAGAGUUAAAUAGAGACAUGGUGGAAGUCACCACUUCUGCAUCCUUCAAGUCUCUCAUAGUGGCAUUAAUUUUUGCAGUCCCUCUGUGGAUGUGAUAUUGUUUUUGGUUCACUAUUUUCCCUGGUGGAAGGAGUUCCAAUGGCUUCCAUUUGACCUUUCCAACAAUAAUGGUCCUCACUAUACAAGUCAGUGAACCAAUGUGGGGGUUCUGCCAACUCCUAAGUAUAUUUAUUCCAAUUAUGUUUUCUAGGACUAGGGAAAUAACUACAGGGUGAGUUCUGGGGCCCACUGGAUCCACUGUCAGUCUCACAUUUGCCAAAACUACAUUGAUCACAUAACUUCUGUAAGCAUCUGCCUUAACUGGAGGGCCAUGAUGCUGUUUGGGGUUUCCAGAUGUCAGUGUCAAACCAAAGGUCUACACAAGUCAUACUGUUAUGAGCAUUGUUUUGCCUCUACUGUCCAUUACAGUAAACACACACACCUUGCCUUUGACAAUUCAGCACGGCCACCUGGCCCUUGUUACUCCAAGAUCCAGUUUGACCCAUUGCAUUUAAGUCACCUAAUACAACAACUGCAUCUCUCACUUUACAUAAAAGACCAAUGACUGGGUAUUGUAAGUAUGCUGGUGCUCCCCUUGCAAAUCUAUUUCUUAUAGUCUUAGUGAAAGGCGCAUCUUCUGGAUGCUCCCAUUGUGGGGGCAAAGAUGAGUUUACAUGGCAAAUCCAUUCCAGAAUUCCAAGUUUUCUGAGCCUUUUAACCCCUUCAUCAACAUUAAGCCAAGGGAUAUCAGGCAGCUUGAGCUCAUUCACAGUAGGUCAUCUUUGGAUCCAUAUUACAGCCAACCAAUCAAAUAAACUCUUGGCAAGUCUUUCAACUGCAUGAGCUGCAGUGUUAAAUCUAAAAUCUCUGCUCAGUGGGCCAAUUUCAAUAAUUUCAGCCUGAUAUAAUCUUAUAUUGAAAUGCAGGAAACUUAGUAAAGAAACAGCUGGGGACAGCCUGAACUAUAUAUUCAGGAAGGAGUAAAUCAAAAAUAGGCUAAAAGAUAGGCUGCAGGUGGCCCAAGAUAUGGGAUGGUCAGGUCAACCUAA